UCGAGCGAACCGAUUAAGAGCUUGCUCUUAAGAAGUUAGCGGCGGACGGGUGAGUAACACGUGGGUAACCUGCCUAUAAGACUGGGAUAACUCCGGGAAACCGGGGCUAAUACCGGAUAACAUUUUGCACCGCAUGGUGCGAAAUUGAAAGGCGGCUUCGGCUGUCACUUAUAGAUGGACCUGCGGCGCAUUAGCUAGUUGGUGAGGUAACGGCUCACCAAGGCGACGAUGCGUAGCCGACCUGAGAGGGUGAUCGGCCACACUGGGACUGAGACACGGCCCAGACUCCUACGGGAGGCAGCAGUAGGGAAUCUUCCGCAAUGGACGAAAGUCUGACGGAGCAACGCCGCGUGAACGAUGAAGGCUUUCGGGUCGUAAAGUUCUGUUGUUAGGGAAGAACAAGUGCUAGUUGAAUAAGCUGGCACCUUGACGGUACCUAACCAGAAAGCCACGGCUAACUACGUGCCAGCAGCCGCGGUAAUACGUAGGUGGCAAGCGUUAUCCGGAAUUAUUGGGCGUAAAGCGCGCGCAGGUGGUUUCUUAAGUCUGAUGUGAAAGCCCACGGCUCAACCGUGGAGGGUCAUUGGAAACUGGGAGACUUGAGUGCAGAAGAGGAAAGUGGAAUUCCAUGUGUAGCGGUGAAAUGCGUAGAGAUAUGGAGGAACACCAGUGGCGAAGGCGACUUUCUGGUCUGCAACUGACACUGAGGCGCGAAAGCGUGGGGAGCAACAGGAUUAGAUA
rnacentral:rRNA from 1 species